rnacentral:lncRNA from 1 species
CCUUGGAGUUAUGGCUGUACUCCUCCGCUGGCAAAGGCAUCAGUGUGUAAGGUAAACCUAAUGGUUGCUGUAUCAAGACGAUUCUUUUCUACAAAGAAUGCCGAGUUUUGGCAGGAAUAAUAACUUCGUAUUAAUGCCUUAGGGAUACAUUUCUCGAGCUUGUAAUGAUGGUACACUUUAUGUUUGGCUUCUGGUGUUCACUUGUUUCUUUCUGAUCCAGAUUGUUAAGUCUUUCGGUAUUUACAGCACAGAAAGUUCCUAUAGCAGUUAAGAAAAAAACAAUCGUAGUUGUCCAAGUACUGCAAGGGCAGAUAUUUAUUCUCUGGAAUGGCUUCAUGUGUAAUCAUUUGUUUUUCUCACACAUUUUCUUUGAUAGGUACACAAUUAAGAUAUAAUUUAAAUUAUUUUUUGUUAGAAAAAUCAUUGUGGAGGUGAUGACAAGGAAAAAAAGGGAAGCAGUCUAUUCCUCGAAUUAAUGAAAUAUGGAU